CCUUUUGGCAUCUGGAUCCUUACUGGAGUCAGCAAAGUGGAGUCCACGUUAUUUACCUCCCGAGAUCACAUGAUGGGGAAAAGGAGGAGGAGGAGGAGGAGGCGAGGAAGAGAAGGAAGACCUUUCAGCUGCACAUCUGGAGGAUGCUCUGUCCUGGCACACCCAGUCUCACAGUUUCUUCCUGUUCAGAUCUACAGCCUGUAUUCUCCCAAUGUGGCAUGCCUUUAGAGUGAAUGCCACCUUGUUACUGAGAGCGGAUGGCCAGAAGGCACAGAUAUUCCACGAGCCCUUUGAGUUUCUUAUCCUACCUAUUAGAGAAGACAUUAUGUUAUAAUUCUGCCCGAUCCGUUAAUGAGAGAUGGAUACUAUACUACUUUUAUUCUUAGCUUAUUUAUCCAUAUUUAUGCUUUUCCCAGUGUGUUUUUAUUGUUUUUGUUCUUUGUUUUUAAUCAAUGUUUUAAACUGUUUUAAUUCUAUAGGCAAUUUAUAUUAUUUAAUGUUUUUAGCUCUGUGCAUUUCUACCUGUAAUUCAUUUUAUGUUAUAAGACACCUUGAGCUUUCGGGGAAAGGCGUGGUAUAUAAACAAAAUCCAAAAGCAAACUUUGCUUUUGCCAUUUUGUAUAAGGGACAUGAUUUUGCUACAUCACUGUAUACAUUUCGAGCUGAGCAUCCAUGGGAGUAGAGAUGGGUGGUUCUAGUACCAAACACCAGAAGAUGCCAAAGGUCCACUUAAUGUUCUUUUCUCUACAAUCUCACAAUUGCGCAGAAUGAAGCAAUUACCCCAGGCAACAGAUGCUGGAAAGUUGCAAGAAGCGGUGGGAACCCUCUCACCAUCUGCCUUGUUGAGGGCUGUGGCCUUCCUGCAAAGUAAAGGGAGAGAGGUGAGAUCAUUUUCUAUUUGAAGCCACUUUAAAUGCACACACCUUUUUCUUGUUAGGUAAUUUCCAAUCUUGGCAUCCACUAAGAGCAAAACAGCUGAAGAUGAUUUUAAGUGAUGCAAGUGUGUGCAUUUGUGGAAGACAUUCUCUAUUCAACACACGCUGUCCUUGACAGCAUCUCCCAUUUCUACCUUACUUUACAAACAAAAUGAUUUUGCAUAGGUGAUUACUCCACUGUUAUAUCUUGUUGGGCCCUAAUGUUGAUUUAUAGGAGUGUUGUAAAGAUUGCAAGACAGCAUCUGUGACUGAGUGAUAGGGAUAUAAAUCUUGAUAAAUUUAGUUAUUGCAGGGAAGAAUAAAUACCAAUUAUUUUCCUUGCAGCAAGAAAGUUGUCAAAAGCUGUGCAGCUUUUGUGUUAUUUGCAAUCUGGGCUGAAUUUUUUUUAAAAAAAUGCACAUUGUUUUUCUGCACUGAAAAUGACACUUUCUAAGCAGGAAUGUUAUUUUCUGCACUGAAAUGCAGAAAACCACAUACACUUUUCACACAGCCCGGGGCUGUGGCGCAGACGGGAGAGCAAUGAGUCACUGACCAGGAGGUCAUAAGUUCGAGGCCCGCUGGAGCUAUGUUUGUUUGUCUUUGUCCUGUGUUAAAAAGGCAUUGAAUGUUUGCCUAAUACAGUAUGUGUAAUGUGAUCCGCCCUGAGUCCCCUUCGGGGUGAGAAGGGCGGAAUAUAAAUGAUGUAAAUAAAUAAAUAAUCUUUCCAAAUCUGUGAA